GGGUGGAGGUCCAAAUGGCUAAGGGACCGGUCUUGAAAACCGGCGAAAGCGAAAGCUGUCAGAGUUCGAAUCUCUGUCCACCCGCCA
rnacentral:tRNA from 1 species